CUGCGCUAACCGCAAGGAGGCAGGCGCCCAAGGUAUGGCGAUGAUUGGGGUG
rnacentral:rRNA from 1 species